GACGAACGCUGGCGGCGUGCUUAACACAUGCAAGUCGAGCGGUAAGGCCCUUUCGGGGGUACACGAGCGGCGAACGGGUGAGUAACACGUGGGUGACCUGCCCUUAGCUCUGGGAUAAGCCUGGGAAACUGGGUCUAAUACCGGAUAUGACUCCAUGACGCAUGUUGUGGGGUGGAAAGCCUUGUGCGGCUAGGGAUGGGCCCGCGGCCUAUCAGCUUGUUGGUGGGGUGAUGGCCACCAAGGCGACGACGGGUAGCCGGCCUGAGAGGGCGACCGGCCACACUGGGACUGAGACACGGCCCAGACUCCUACGGGAGGGCAGCAGUGGGGAAGUCUUGCGCAAGUGGG
rnacentral:rRNA from 1 species